rnacentral:rRNA from 1 species
GCAGCACGGGGGCAACCCUGGUGGCGAGUGGCGAACGGGUGAGUAAUACAUCGGAACGUGUCCUGUAGUGGGGGAUAGCCCGGCGAAAGCCGGAUUAAUACCGCAUACGCUCUACGGAGGAAAGGGGGGGAUCUUAGGACCUCCCGCUACAGGGGCGGCCGAUGGCAGAUUAGCUAGUUGGUGGGGUAAAGGCCUACCAAGGCGACGAUCUGUAGCUGGUCUGAGAGGACGACCAGCCACACUGGGACUGAGACACGGCCCAGACUCCUACGGGAGGCAGCAGUGGGGAAUUUUGGACAAUGGGGGCAACCCUGAUCCAGCAAUGCCGCGUGUGUGAAGAAGGCCUUCGGGUUGUAAAGCACUUUUGUCCGGAAAGAAAACGCCGUGGUUAAUACCCGUGGCGGAUGACGGUACCGGAAGAAUAAGCACCGGCUAACUACGUGCCAGCAGCCGCGGUAAUACGUAGGGUGCAAGCGUUAAUCGGAAUUACUGGGCGUAAAGCGUGCGCAGGCGGUCCGCUAAGACAGAUGUGAAAUCCCCGGGCUUAACCUGGGAACUGCAUUUGUGACUGGCGGGC